GACGAACGCUGGCGGCGUGCUUAACGCAUGCAAGUCGAACGAGGAAAUUGACUUCGGUUGAUUUUCGAGUGGCGGACGGGUGAGUAACGCGUGAGCAAUCUGUCCUACAGAGGGGGAUAACAGCUGGAAACAGUUGCUAAUACCGCAUAAGACCACGGGGCCGCAUGGCCAUGAGGUAAAAGGAGUAAUCCGCUGUAGGGUGAGCUCGCGUCCGAUUAGAUAGUUGGUGAGGUAACGGCCCACCAAGUCUGCGAUCGGUAGCCGACCUGAGAGGGUGACCGGCCACAUUGGGACUGAGACACGGCCCAGACUCCUACGGGAGGCAGCAGUGGGGAAUAUUGGGCAAUGGGGGAAACCCUGACCCAGCAACGCCGCGUGAGGGAAGAAGGUUUUCGGAUUGUAAACCUCUGUCCUUGGUGACGAACACAAUGACGGUAGCCAAGGAGGAAGCCCCGGCUAACUACGUG
rnacentral:rRNA from 1 species